CCCGGUGCACAUUUUCACCACGAACGCCGUCGGUGGACGCUGAUAAGGACUCGAGCUCGCCGUCUCCAGGGAGAACUCCUGGGGAAGCAGUAGCGGGAGCCGUCGAAGGCCCAAGCUGAGCAUUGUCACAUUCAUCGUCUGUAGCAGACUUAUGUGAUCAACGGACAGAGGCAGUAUUACGCGAUAUCCACUAUAUGAUCAACGGACAGAGGCAGUAUUACGCGAUAUCCAUCAUGUGAUCCAGGGACAGAGGCAGUAUUACGCGAUAUCCACUACGUGAUCCAGGGACAGAGGCAGUAUUACGCGAUAUCCACUAUGUAAUCAACG
rnacentral:misc_RNA from 1 species